UACGAAGGGGGGCUAGCGUUGCUCGGAAUGACUGGGCGUAAAGGGCGCGUAGGCGGAUGGCACAGUCAGAUGUGAAAUUCCCGGGCUUAACCUGGGGGCUGCAUUUGAUACGUGUGAUCUAGAGUGAGGAAGAGGGUCGUGGAAUUCCCAGUGUAGAGGUGAAAUUCGUAGAUAUGUGGAGGAACACCGAUGGCGAAGGCAGGUCUCUGGGCUGACACUGACGCUCAUGCACGAAAGCGUGGGGAGCAAACAGG
rnacentral:rRNA from 1 species